ACCAAGAGGGCUGCACUCACCUGAACAUGCAUACAUUUUUUUUUUUUUUUUUAUUAUAAUUUUUUGCUAAGGGGAGGUGUUUUUAAAUAAAACGAUUACAAUUUCUAAGAUUUGAAAUCAUUGUUUAGUGAAUAAGCAAGUGCGCAGGAUUCUGUAUUUUGUAUAUUUUGACCCCAGAAGCACCGUAUAAUGUAUGUAUGUUCAGGUGAGUGCAGCCCUUUUGAU